CAAGCCGUGCGCUGCACCCCCGGCUCCUUCCCGGCCUCGCGGGCCCCAGGCCCGACACCUCCGCACCCACACUCUGCCCAGGCACAGCUCACCCCCUGCCCCAACCCAAGGCAGUUCUAUAAUGGAAAAUUUCUGAGAACCAAACUUAAUCCAAGAGAAGAAAGAGAAGAACUCCUGACACCCUUGUUCCUGUGCCGGAGUCCACAGAUGAAGCCAGAAACCUGCCCCCGUUGGGGCCAAGAACGUCUACUUUCUUUCAUUCAUUUUGAUGUCUAAGGGCCAAGUGCACAACAGAGUGUGAAACCUGUUUGGUAGAGAGGCUGCGCAGAGCACGCUCUCCGGUUUCCCGGCCUUCUGAACAUCGGGCCCCCACGCCAGCCUGGGUCACCCCUUAGACCUUUACAGUUGGCAUGAACAACUUUGCUUCUGCAGUUCUUCAAAACGUGCUCACCUUCGUCACUCUGAUCCACAUCCACUUGGACUGACGGGGCCAGCGGCCGUCCAAGAUGAUGAGAAAGUCCAGACGCCAGAGCUCAGGCCAUGUGACAAAGGCUUGGCUCGUCCUGGUUCGAGUCCCUCCCCAAAGCACCACAGACAAAAAGCCCAGCAGGAACCCAGACUGAACCCAGGUGAAGGACAGGGAGAGCUGACUGCCAGGACGGUGCGCUGUGAUUACCACCGAAAAAUUCAGUGCAGGACCGCAGACACCAGCGGGGUGCAAACUAGGAGCCCUUGGGGAAUCAAAAUGUUUUGUAGUAUUGACACUUUGUGGGGUUCAGAGGAUGGUAAUGAAACGAGUCUGACAUCAGCCGUCACCACUGUUUCCCUGGACCCGUCCACCCCGCCCUCCUUCACACCUGGCCCCUGGUGGUCAGUGUGAAGGGGCUUUAAGGGAAACUGAGCUUGGAACCACUUCCGUUCAGGCGAUGCUGCUUGUAUUGAACCUGACAGAGGCACCCCGCUUCUGUGCUGAGGGGCCGCUGUUCCGCGUUCAGCAGAGGCCUGGCUUCCAGUUCAGCUGUGGGGAAAGGAGCUUCCUGACAUGGAAAGCGGGCUGAUCUCAACCAGAACUGAGCACAUGCCUGGAGUUGGGCUGCGCCUCAUUCACCACACAGACGUCCAGUUGCUCGGAGAUGGCGGAGGACAGUACAGGUGUCGGCUCCUAAUUGUACCAUCCAGCCUGAAGCCAGAGGAGUUUCCUUUGGUUGAUAAUUCUGUGCCCCUUCUGGCAUGCCACCCUGGUGGCCUCUGUUGGAUUUAUAAGAAGUAAGUUGGCGAUGACUGAAAGGAUUUGAAAGAGUGCAAACUUUGUGCGGAAUGGAGAAGUGGACCAUGCAAUCACGAAGGAGCUGAGCUCAAUGCACCUGAGUCACGGCUCUUCUGAGAGUGGCUCAAACGGAGAUGGUAUGACCUGGUAUCUCAGAGCCUGCUCUCUUCACCUCGGAGGACACAGGCGAUGCUGACGUCCUGGAGUGGACACCUCCAACUAUGAUAAAUCCGGGAGCUGCAGCAGGGGAUUUGCAGAUGUCUUAACACUUGUUCCUGCAUUAAGCAAUCUGCUUGAUCGGUUGUCUUUGGAUUGUUUGUAAACAAGCAUGAUAAAAUGCUAAAUUAAAACAUUUUCACUUAAUAACAUAAUUGGCUUUGGCUGGACACAUAGCCAGAGUGGACAUAGAGCCAGCAAAACCAAAUGAUCAAAUAGAUACCAAAAUUCUAAAACCUGAUAAAGCACAGUCAGCUGCCACCAGGCAUUUGAAUAUGUUUUUUUAAACUGCAGAAGUUUACCCAACACACCAGAGUGUUAGUAAUUUUCAAUGUGAUCUUGGACUAAAUUAACUAUCCUAUUCUGAGACAGGGUAAUGGCUUCUCGGCUUUAAUGUGAUCAGCCCCAGGCCCAGGCAGACAGCACCUAGAGUGCCGACCACACACACUCUUCACGACUCUUCCAGGGCGACUCAGGAGCCACUGUCCCGACUUGCCCCACGUGGCCACAGGCUGCUCUCUCGGUGCCUGAGGGUUCUGGGAUCUGAGGAGUCUGACCAGGACUGACCAUGCCAGGGUUCAGAACUGUUGUCCAACUGAUCAAUCUGCCUGCAGAAGGCCGUGCUAGAAGUCAAUCAUUCAAAUUUGUGCACAGGAAUGAAGUUCUAAAUGGUCUAUUUCUAGGAGCCAGUGGAUGCAUAAUUAAGGGUAAUGGUCCAGAGAAUGAAUCCUUCCCAUCUUUCACUUGAUAAAAACAACUGUAAUAUCAACAAAGCAGUGAAAGCACUUAUCACUCAGUGGAGUUCUGCGUCCUGCCUGCUCUCAGCACUUCCUGAGUCUCAGGUCAAUUCGUCCUCACCUUCACCUUCACACAUUACUGCUGCUGAAUGUUUCCAACAUUCAGAUGAGGAGCCCGGGCUGCAGACACAGCUUCAGUAAGGGCUUGACACUACCAAGGACGUCGUGUAAAAUGAAUCCUGUAUACUGAUCACGCGGUGAAGGUCAAGAACAACUCUACGACCACGUCAGGUACCUCGCUCCAUCCUCUCUCGACCCCUCUUGGUGGUCAUCCUGUCACUUCCUCAGACGAGGAAACUGAGGCUUUAACAGGAUAAAAUGGCCCAUUCAAAGUCACCACCAGUUCCUAGGAGGCUUGGACACAGCUUGGGUUUUCUAGGGCUCUUCCUACCAAACCGUUGCUGGCUUGAUCUGUGUCACUGUCCUGGAGCAAUGACGCAGCCACAGGAGGUCUGUUGCAGCUAACUACCUGGAGUAUCUCCAUGUUGCCCCACAGACCACACGGACACCACCAUGACACAUAAUGCGCUGACACACAGCUUCAGCGCAUCCGGUCAUCAGCAGAGGCCUGGGCUCCCCGGAGCUGCACGCCCACGGUGGGAUGUCCCGCUGCAACACAAGCACGUCAUCCUGGGCUCCUGGCUCCUGUCUCCUUUAUGUCCUCCUGGGUCCUGGUUUAAGGUCUCUAAUCUUUCUAUUUGGGAAGUGACAGAGUCCACUGCUCUAAGAUGAUGACCUAGAGGGACACCGCUGCUUAUUCACAAGGCUCUGGCUUUUGAAAUUACUUUAAAACAAACACCAACCAAUGGCAUGGGCUAAGGGCAAGUGUGGGUGGGCAAGCGCAAGCUCGCUGCUGGUGCUCUGAGAGUCACGAGAACGUGGCCAUGCUGACCUCCCGAGCCGCAGCCCUUUCAGAGGACCAUGAUAUCAUGGGUGGCAGGGGAUCUGGGGACAGGAGGAACAGGAAGGAGGCCAGGUUCAUUCAGAAGGCAGAGGCGGGGCCGCUGGCAAAACCACUGCCGUCCAUCUGCAGCGCAGGGGAUCCUUUGUUUCUCGCGAGUGCCAAGAGGGUGACUCAGUCAACACGGCUUUGAAGAGAUCUGCAGGUCACCUGUUCUACCCUCCCUGGCCUGUGGCCUCCAAGGAGAGAUGGACAGCCGUUGUCUGCUGGAGGGACAUCUGGACCUGAGUCUUGUGCUUAUGGGGGUCAGUCAGUGGCAGAAUCACGUGCGUGAUCAGGGAAAACUCUCAAGUCUCAUUUUGCCAAAAGUUCUAAUCCUCCUACACGGAUCCACCUCCAAGGAAAUCCCAGGACUCACUGGUCCAAACCCACACUAAAAGUGUAGACGCUGCCACCUGUGGCUGCUGUUCCCUGGGAACGUGGGUGGUACCAUUGUGGAACUGAACAUUUUAUGUUAUAGAAUUUCAAUUUCAAUUUUAACUGAAGAACAUGCACAGUUGAGUUUGGUCUGUGCAGAAUGACUUGAAAAUGGAAAUCAACUUUUUCACUAAUGAAUUUGAAAUAUAAACAUAGAUUAAAGAUUUGUGAUGAGACUGGAACAUCCAAAAGGAAUGCCCCUCAUGUAUAAAAUACCAGAUUUUCUCACAAGGAUUUUGAAGAUUUGGUAUGAAAAAAGUGAAGUACUUCAAUAAUUCAUAUUACACAUUGAUAUGAUCUAUGAAUCAUGUGAUAUAUGAUUACACAUUGAAAUCAUGUGAUAUAGUGGGUUAAAUAAAAUGUCCUAUUAAAAUUAAUUUCAUCUGCUGCUUUUUACUUUUUCAAACAGAGCUACUGGAAAGGUUUA